UCCCGUGAGGAGGGAGGCGAAGCUGCGCUGCCUUGCCUGACACCCGGCUUGCGAGCCGGCUUACUGCCUGCGCCUAUGCACCUCCACCAGCGUUCACCCGAGUGACUCAGGCUCCUGAAAUCGGUUUCAUGCUUCUUGAACUGGUAUGAUCGGAAAGUUAAGAAGACGGAAAAUGGAGAAGUGAGUGUCAUGUACCUCCCCAGACCUGGAGGGAAACGGAGCCGCAGCCAAAAGGAGUGGGUGUAAAUGCGACAACAAAAAUAAAUACUUUAUAUCACCCUGCAGAACUUAUUUUACUAAGUCAACAUUUUGUUUUUCUGCUGCUCACCUUUUCUUUCCUCUAGGGAGAGACAAUGCUCACUUUUUAUUAGGUAUUCCCUAAAAGUUUGUUUUGGUCCCCGCCCAGGUGUGAGUAUAUGUGCAUAUAUAUAUAUACAAUCAACAGGCUGAGGUUCAUGUGUGAGCAGAGGCGACCGGGAAGAGGGGUGAUCAGAUGCUCUUGGGUAAGAUCCCACGGCCCUACAGGCUGCAGGCAACUCAUUGCAAAGCCCCCGUUGUUCGGAGGUGAUUUAUAAAAUCGAGAACGGCGAGAUAUCAAUGUCGUUUAAGUGUGAGCACUCUGAAAAAUCAGCCUGCAGAAGAGGACUGCGAUCCACAUUCCCUCACAGGCAUUAGCGCCUUUCAAAAUAUUAUCGACAUUUUGCCGGAGGUCUCAUUGGUGUGUAGUACGGGGCUCAGGCAGGCGCUAAUUGAGCACGUAGCGUGUGCGAGGUUGCGAGAAUGAGUGUCGGGGCAGGCUCACACAGCGGCAGAAAUGGGAGCGAUGGGUAGAAGGGAAGGAGCGUCACAGGCCCCCGCGCAGUGCGUGUUGGUGUGACACAUCUCGUUAUUACUUCAAUACGUUCCCUGCCUUUUCGGGAUUUCUAAGGGUCGUUUUCAAUUUUUUUUCCCCCCCCGUCCGCCUUUGGGCUACUGGGUUGAAGGAUCAGCCCGUAGCCACACGGCGAUCCGACCCAGCACAUGGAAGGGCGGUGGGGGUCAGAGCCCCGACGCUGCGCUCCUCUCGGGGCGCUCGCUCGGGGACAGGGGCAGCCCCUCCGGGAGCGGCCGGAGAUGCUCAGCCGUGCCCCGGCAGUGUCCGGGGGGCCGCGGGCACCCCUCCCGCCGGUGCUGGAGAUGCCAGAGGUCGAGGGAGAGGCGGAGGGCUGGCCCCCUGCCCAGCGCACCUCACGGGGGAGGGCGGCCCGGGAGCAGCCCCGCCGGGCUGGGGGCGGCUGGAAAGGGUUAAGCGCUUCCCCUCCUCCUGCUGUAGCCCCCUGAAUGCCACUGCUUUCCUCUAGAGGUCUCAUUAGGGAAACCCUAACUGCUAUUUUCAACGUUUCCUCAAUCAAGCGCCUUUAAAUAGAGCUCCACAAACAAAUUGGCGGCAAAAAGCGCAGAUCUUGUCACGGGCGAGGCCGAUUCAAUAUUUCACCCUU